rnacentral:rRNA from 1 species
UGAGUAACCUGCCCUUAACUCUGGGAUAAGCCUGGGAAACUGGGUCUAAUACCGGAUACGAGACGCGAAGGCAUCUUCAGCGUCUGGAAAGAACUUCGGUCCAGGAUGAGCUCGCGGCCUAUCAGGUAGUUGGUGAGGUAAUGGCUCACCAAGCCUACGACGGGUAGCCGGCCUGAGAGGGUGACCGGCCACACUGGGACUGAGACACGGCCCAGACUCCUACGGGAGCAG